CUUCAUAAAUUUGAUCGGGGGAAAUAAAAUGAAUAUGAGUAUCAAUUCCACCUGCGGUUAGGAUCAUACCCGUUCCAGAAAUAACCUCUGUUCCUGCCCCAAUGGGGAGAUCUACAUUGGCUUGAGUAUCUGGAUUUCCUGAAGCACCAAUGCCUGCAAUUCGUCCACCUUUAAUCCCUACAUCUGCUUUUAUAAUCCCCCAAUAAUCUAAAACUACUACAUUGAUAAUAACGGUAUCCAUAACUUCAGCAGCAGGUAACUGACUCUGUGCCAUUCCAUCUCGGAUG
rnacentral:sRNA from 1 species